UUUAUCCUCAUCUUUAAUGAAGGGUAAAAGACAUUUAUAACCUUUUGAUUACCUUUGACAAAAAAACAUAUGGUUAACUAAUCUAAACUUAAAACAUCAACUCUAAACCCUAAAUCAUCAACUCUAAACCAUGAAACAUCAACUCUAAACCCUAAACCUCGAAACAUCAACUCUAAACCAUAAACCCUACAAUUUCAAAUCUAGAUCCUAAAACAUCAACUCUAAACCCUAAACGUGAACCCUAAACCCUAAAUCUAAACAUAAAACAUCAACUUUAAACCCUAAAUCAUCAACUCUAAACCCUAAACCAUGAAACAUCAACUCUAAACUCUAAACUCCGAAACAUCAACUCUACACCCUAAACCUUCAAAUCAAAACCCUAAAACAUCAACUCUAAACCCUAAAAGUAAACCCUAAACCCUAAACCUUAUAUUUUUCUGAAAUUCGAACCCUAAACCCUAAAAUCCUAAACCUUCAAAUCUAAACCCUAAAACAUCAAC
rnacentral:lncRNA from 1 species